GCACAUAUACAUACAUAUACAAAAAGAUAUGCCAUGGUGUGGAUGGAAAUCGUGGAGGAAUUCUGCAUCUGCACUCUAUUGACAGAGUUCUACUUAUAUAAACAUUGCAAGGGAUGCAUCUUUCGGUAAUUCACCAUUGAUAGGCAUUGUACUAAACUACUAAUACUAUAAUCUGCAGGUAAUAUAUAUCCAUCUAUUUUUUCCCUUCAAAUCUACUAGACUUCAACAUACAAUUUUCUCAACCCCAGAUAUGUGGGUAUAUGCAGCUGAUUUGCAAUCACCAACCCCAGAUAUUUUAACCCUUAUAGCUUAACUUUGAAGUCCAUAUGUUAGGCGCAGAGUGGUAAAGUGGUUUAUGUCUAUUUUGAUCGAGCAGUUUGGCGAGCGGAGACGUGGAAUUAUACAAUGGUAGUUCAGGAGAAUUAACAUAGGCAUAGAACGAAGGAUGGCGCUUGACCGUGGAUGAGGAGCGGAUGUCCUGCUCAAUGAGAACUACUGUGGAUGCAGUUUUUCUUUCAGUUUUGGUGACUUCAGUGCUGCUAUUUUAUGAGAUUUUCCAUUGUUUGUGAUCAGUAAGCAAGCAUGUACUAAUCAGUUGGUGGCACUGAGCAUGGCUCUUUCUUUUUAGAUCAGACUAGCAAAACUGCCCGUGUGCUGCAACGGGUGAAAAAUUCCAAUGACAAUAUAUGUUUUUCAUAAAUAACCAUGUGAAUAAUAAUGUUUGUGUUGAUUGUUGUAGCUAAGACAUAUCAUAAGGAAAAAUAGAACAUCUUCCAUUCUUUGCCCAAAAGAAUUGGAUUAUUCA